UAUCUAUGUACUUUCAUAACUGACUCGAAGAAAUGUUAUAACAUCAGUCGUCUUAAUGCUAAGACUAUAUACAUUAGAUGCUAAAUUAAUAUCAUAAAAUUAUCUUUCUGGCGAAAUGUUGAAAUUCGUCACAUUGACUAAUUUGACUGUUACACCAUACAUAUGGGUUAAGACGAGCACUUCCGGUUGUUCGUGUAACUAACUGCCACGAGAGGGCAGCGUUUCUACACGUUAAAGGUUUACUGUCUGACUUUCUUCUCUGUUGGUCAAGCUAAUGUUUAUACUUUAACCAUUGUUUGUUAUUUUUAAGUCAUUUUCUGUCCCCCAACACCAAGUAUUUAGACUCAUCCUGAUUGCUGUUGUCAUAAUAUAAGUCUGCGUGAAUAUUAAUCUGAGAUGCUAUUGUUUAAAAUGUAAAAAAAAAGUGUUAAAAUUGAAAGAAAAGAGAAAACAACUGAGGAAAACUGGUGGAGGAGGACACUGGAAUCCAUUCAUAUCAGAGGGAGGUGGAGGAGGGAAGCUUGAUGCUCCAGGACGGCCUGGAGGUGGAGGAGGCAACCCUGCUGCUCCAGGACGAUCUGUAGGUGGAGGAGGGAACCCUGCUGCUCCAGGACGGCCUGGAGGUGGAGGAGGAGGGAGCCCUGCUGCUCCAGGACGGUCUGGAGGUGGAGCAGGGAACCCUGUCGGUCCAGGACGAUCUGGAGGUGGAGGAGGGAACCCUGUCGCUGCAGGACGUUCUGGAGGUGGAGUGGGUCUGCCUGGUCCACCGGGGCGACUAGGAGGAGGUGCAGAAGAAGAAGGUCCCCCUCUGUUUCCUGCUCCUGUGGGUGGAGGUGGAAGAGGACCUGGAGAGGAGAACCAACGACAGUAAUGAACAUCAGAAAUGACCCCCCCCCCACACACACCUGAUCGUACAGUUGAAUUCCUUCGUGUGUCAUUGGGUGGAGGGGGUAAAGGGCUGGAGCGUCCAGGUGGAGGUGGAGGAGGAAGGCUGUUUCGUGAAGGACCUCUAGA